AUUGAACGCUGGCGGCAUGCCUUACACAUGCAAGUCGAACGGUAACAGGUCUUCGGAUGCUGACGAGUGGCGAACGGGUGAGUAAUACAUCGGAACGUGCCCGAUCGUGGGGGAUAACGAAGCGAAAGCUUUGCUAAUACCGCAUAAGAUCUAAGGAUGAAAGCAGGGGACCGCAAGGCCUUGCGCGAGCGGAGCGGCCGAUGGCAGAUUAGGUAGUUGGUGGGAUAAAAGCUUACCAAGCCGACGAUCUGUAGCUGGUCUGAGAGGACGACCAGCCACACUGGGACUGAGACACGGCCCAGACUCCUACGGGAGGCAGCAGUGGGGAAUUUUGGACGAUGGGCGCAAGCCUGAUCCAGCCAUGCCGCGUGCAGGAUGAAGGCCUUCGGGUUGUAAACUGCUUUUGUACGGAACGAAAAGAUUCUGGUUAAUACCUGGGGUCCAUGACGGUACCGUAAGAAUAAGCACCGGCUAACUACGUGCCAGCCGCCGCAGUAAAAC
rnacentral:rRNA from 1 species